rnacentral:rRNA from 1 species
GGCGUCUCUUUUGAAGGCCAGCUCCUCUCAAAUGAAUUAGCAGGGUCCUCUUUGCCGAUCCUCGACGUGUGAUAAGAUGUUUCCAUGUCUUGGCUUCUGGCUCUGUUGCCUUUGGGACCUGCUUCUAACCGUCUCGACCGAGACAACG